GAUGAACGCUGGCGGCGUGCCUAAUACAUGCAAGUCGAGCGAACAGACGAUGAUCUUGCUCCUCUGACGUUAGCGGCGGACGGGUGAGUAACACGUGUAUAACCUACCUAUAAGACUGGUAUCACUUCGGAAAACCGGCUCUAAUACCGUAUAAUAUAUUGAACCGCAUGGUUCAAUAGUGAGAUACGGUUUUUCUGGCCGUAAUAGAUGGAUCCUCGCCUCAUUAGCUAGUUGGUAAUUUAACGGCAUACCAAGGCAACGAUGCGUAGGCGACCCGAGAGGGGGAACACGGUCCAGAGUCCUGAGGGACGCAGCAGUCGGGAACGUGCCGCAGUGGGCGAAAGCAUGACGGAGCAACGGCGAGUGAGUGAUGAAGGUCUUCGGAUCAUAAUACUCUGUUAUUAGGGAAGAACCAAUGUGUAAGUAACUAUGCACGUCUUGACGGUAACUAAUCAGAAAGCCCCGGCUAACUACGUG
rnacentral:rRNA from 1 species